ACUCCUACGGGAGGCAGCAGUGGGGAAUAUUGCACAAUGGGCGCAAGCCUGAUGCAGCCAUGCCGCGUGUAUGAAGAAGGCCUUCGGGUUGUAAAGUACUUUCAGCAGUGAGGAAGGCGGAGUCGUUAAUAGCGGCCUCGUUUGACGUUAGCUGCAGAAGAAGCACCGGCUAACUCCGUGCCAGCAGCCGCGGUAAUACGGAGGGUGCGAGCGUUAAUCGGAAUUACUGGGCGUAAAGCGCAUGCAGGUGGUUUGUUAAGUCAGAUGUGAAAGCCCGGGGCUCAACCUCGGAAUUGCAUUUGAAACUGGCAGACUAGAGUACUGUAGAGGGGGGUAGAAUUUCAGGUGUAGCGGUGAAAUGCGUAGAGAUACUGAAGGAAUACCGGUAGGCGAAGGCGGCCCCCUGGACAGAUACUGACACUCAGAUAGCG
rnacentral:rRNA from 1 species